rnacentral:rRNA from 1 species
GAUGAACGCUGGCGGCGUGCCUAAUACAUGCAAGUCGAGCGAACAGGCGAGGAGCUUGCUCCUCUGACGUUAGCGGCGGACGGGUGAGUAACACGUGGAUAACCUACCUAUAAGACUGGGAUAACUUCGGGAAACCGGAGCUAAUACCGGAUAAUAUAUUGAACCGCAUGGUUCAAUAGUGAAAGACGGUUUUGCUGUCACUUAUAGAUGGAUCCGCGCCGCAUUAGCUAGUUGGUAAGGUAACGGCUUACCAAGGCAACGAUGCGUAGCCGACCUGAGAGGGUGAUCGGCCACACUGGAACUGAGACACGGUCCAGACUCCUACGGGAGGCAGCAGUAGGGAAUCUUCCGCAAUGGGCGAAAGCCUGACGGAGCAACGCCGCGUGAGUGAUGAAGGUCUUCGGAUCGUAAAACUCUGUUAUUAGGGAAGAACAAAUGUGUAAAUAACUAUGCACGUCUUGACGGUACCUAAUCAGAAAGCCACGGCUAACUACGUG